CUCCCUCUUAUUUACUUCUUGUGCUUCCUCUUCUGGAACAUAAAAGCAUUCUUAUUAACUCAAUUCACAAUGAGAACCAACAAUGAAAAUUACUUUAUUAUUUUAUUUAUUUAUUUAUUUAUUUUUCUUUUGGUAGAAAGAACUGGGAAGUGCAAAAAAGGCAAAACAAACCUUUAGUAGCAUCGUGUCCAAAGUUUGAACCGUCCUGCUCUAAUAGCUUGCCAACAACAACUGACCCCUCAACUUCGCCGGUGGAAGCAACUGUGGAAACAGACAUCUGCAGUUGCAAAUUAAACUUAGUUUGAAAAUUAAAAUUUUCUCUGAAUUCACUAAACCAUAAACCCUGCUUUUAUGAAAGAGAAACAUUUU
rnacentral:lncRNA from 1 species